rnacentral:rRNA from 1 species
UACAGAGGGUGCGAGCGUUAAUCGGAAUUACUGGGCGUAAAGCGUGCGUAGACGGUUUUGUAAGUCGGAUGUGAAAUCCCCGGGCUCAACCUGGGAAUUGCAUUCGAGACUGCAAGGCUUGGGUGCGGAAGAGGGAAGCGGAAUUUCCGGUGUAGCGGUGAAAUGCGUAGAUAUCGGAAGGAACAUCAGUGGCGAAAGCGACUUCCUGGACCAGUACCGACGUUCAGGCACGAAAGCGUGGGGAGCAAACAGG